ensembl:lncRNA
GUCAUCACUGAGUGGAUGGGAUUGGAAAGGUCCUGGAAGGUCAUCACUAAACGGGUUGGACUGGAAGGGUCCUGGAAGGUCUCUGGGAGUGGGUUGGAUUGGAAGGGUCCUGGAAGGCCAUCACUGAACGGGUUGGACUGGAAGGGUCCUGGAAGGUCAGUACUGAAUGGAUGGGGUUGGAAAGGUCCUGGAAGGUCAUCACUGAAUGGAUGGGAUUGGAAAGGUCCUGGAAGGUCAUCACUGAGUGGGUUGGAUUGGAAAGGUCCUGGAAGGUCGUUGUAGAGUGGGUUGGAUUGGAAGGGUCCUGGAAGGUCAUCACUGAACGGGUUGGACUGGAAGGGUCCUGGAAGGUCAUCACUGAAUGGAUGGGAUUGGAAAGGUCCUGGAAGGUCAUCACUAAAUGGACAUGGUUGGAAGGGUCCUGGAAGGUCAUCACUGAAUGGAUGGGAUUGGAAAGGUCCUGGAAGGUCAUCACUGAAUGGAUGGGAUUGGAAGGGUCCUGGAAGGUCAUCACUGAAUGGAUGGGAUUGGAAAGGUCCUGGAAGGUCUCAUUAAAUGGACGGGAUUGGAAAGGUCCUGGAAGGUCAUCACUGAAUGGAUGGGGUUGGAAAGGUCCUGGAAGGUCAUCACUGAAUGGAUGGGGUUGGAAAGGUCCUGGAAGGUCAUCACUGAACAGAUUUAAUUAGAAGGGUCCUGUAAGGUCAUUACUGAAUGGAUGGGAUUGGAAAGGUCCUGGAAGGUCAUCACUGAAUGGAUGGGAUUGGAAAGGUCCUGGAAGGUCAUCACUGAAUGGAUGGGAUUGGAAGGGUCCUGGAAGGUCAUCACUGAAUGGGUGGGGUUGGAAAGGUCCUGGAAGGUCAUCACUGAAUGGAUGGGGUUGGAAAGGUCCUGGAAGGUCAUCACUGAGUGGGUUUUAUUGGAAGGGUCCUGGAAGGUCAUCACUGAAUGGAUGGGGUUGCAAAGGUCCUGGAAGGUCAUCACUGAACGGGUUUUAUUGGAAGGGUCCUGGAAGGUCACCACUGAGUGGGUUUUAUUGGAAAGGUCCUGGAAGGUCUCUGGGAGAGGGACGGCGGCGCGCCGUGACGCCUCCCAUUGGCGCGCUCCUACCGGAAGUCCCGCCCCCCGCGCAUGCGCAGUGGGAUCCGCGGCGCGCCUGUGAGAUCGGGCGGUUCCGGGAGGAGCGUUGUGGGGCUGAGGCCCUCCCGGAGGUGCCGCUAUGGGGCUGCUGUCCGACCCACAGUGCCGCCGUCUGCUCAGCCGCCUCCUGCAGCGCUUCAAUGUGCCCCUAUGCGUGCUGUGCUACGUGUCGGGGCUGUGUUGGUUGGCGGCGCUGCCGGCGCUGUCCCCGCGCAGCUCCAUGUCGGAGAACGCGAUGGGCUCCACGAUGGUGGAGGAGCGCUUCCACUACGGGGCGCGCGCGGCCGCAUACAGCGCCGAGUUCAGCGCGCAGCGCGACGCCGCCGGGUCCGUGCGGGGGGGGG